rnacentral:lncRNA from 11 species
UUUAAAUCUGAUUUAAAUUGGAGUGGUUACUCAGCACAUUCUCAGUUUGUGACUCAUCAAGAGCUACCUUUCUUUCUUUUAAUUUUUUUUAUUGAAAGCACCCAUCAAAUAAGGCACAGAGUAGCAAUCCUUAAUUUCUACCCCGCCUUUCUGUUAAAGUUUCCAUUAACAAAAGAUUUUUCUAUGCUAGGAUCAGUGAGUCCUUUUUUGACCAAGGCUCCUCAUUGUUCUCAGAGUCUUCAAUAAAGCACAAUGGGGUAAGAUUUUGAAUCUUUUGAAUGCAACAAUGUCACUAUGGGUGGUCACUCUUCAAGCUACCACAUGCCAGCUUUGUGGAGUGAGUUGUCUGUUAACUUUGCAAACAGGAAUGUUUCUCUACUUUUCCUUUGCUCUGAUGCCACAGGUUUCCACUGAUGUUAAAAUAACCACCUUUUGGGAUGAAGGGACUUCUAACAUUAAAGCAUGAAGAGGUAUUUGCGUGCCAGGAGAACACCAAGAAGAAGAAAAAAGGAGUGGGUUAUUCAUCUAAGACAUUAAAAAAGAUUAAAUCUUAUAUUCAAGAAUAUCAGGUGGAAUACAACAACAGCAACACCACGUCAUUCAAGUUUCAAAACAGUAGCUUUGCCAUGCUCUACUAUUCGGCAAGUUUAAUAGAAACCCAAAAAAGACAUCUCAUCCUCAUGCCAAGUUAAUAAAAGCAGUUAUGCUUUUCUUGGACAUUUCCGUGAAUGGGGUUACAUAAUUCUACACAGGUGAUGGCAGUUUUCUGCUUUCUGAAAAGGGCAAAUUUCUACAAGUCUAAGAGCUGAAAGAGGAUCUUCCUGCCCCUCCUUCUCUGUACAAGUUAAUAAACUGGAUCAUCAUGUACGCCUUUCUGACUUACAUUUGUAACUCAUUCCUUUAGUCUCCCCGUAGCUAGAGGGGCCUUUUACCCAUCUGCUGAGUAGACUGUUGGAUUAAUAUUUUCAAUUUAUUGUCAGACUCCAGCUAUAGCCGAGGCAAGGGCGCACUAAUGUCUGCCCAAAAGCAGUACAUUAAAAUAGCUCUUUCC